rnacentral:rRNA from 1 species
GUAGGCGGUUUGUUAAGUGAAUAGUGAAAUCUGGUGGCUCAACCAUACAGGCUAUUAUUCAAACUGGCAAACUCGAGAGUGGUAGAGGUCACNUGGAAUUUCUUGUGUAGGAGUGAAAUCCGUAGAUAUAAGAAGGAACACCGAUGACGUAGGCAGGUGACNUGGACCAUUUCUGACGCUAAGGCACGAAAGCGUGGGGAGCGAACCGGAUUAGAUACCCGGGUAGUCCACGCCGUAAACGAUGGAUACUGGCUGUUGGAGGUAUCGACCCCUUCAGUAGCGAAGCUAACGCGUUAAGUAUCCCGCCUGUGGAGUACGGUCGCAAGACUAAAACAUAAAGGAAUUGACGGGGACCCGCACAAGCGGUGGAUCGUGUUCUUUAAUUCGAUGCUAAACGAAGAACCUUACCAGGGCUUGACAUCCAGGGAAUUUUUGGGAAACCAAUUAGUGCCUUUUGGAACCCUGUGACAGGUGAUGCAUGGCCGUCGUCAGCUCGUGUCGUGAGAUGUUUGGUUAAGUCCAUCAACGAGCGCAACCCUUGCAACUAGUUGGAUUUUUCUAGUUGGACUGCUUCGGUAACGGAGAGGAAGGAGGGGNAUGAUGUCAGGUCAGUAUUUCCCUUACGUCCUGGGCUAGAAACACGAUACAAUGGCUAGUACAAUGCNCAGCAAAA